AUUGUCUGGCUGCAGAGGUGCAGGUAAAGUAUUACUAGUGCAGGUAACUUGUAUUGUCUGGUUGCAGAGGUGCAGGUAAAGUAUUACUAGUGCAGGUAACUUGUAUUGUCUGCUGCACCCAGCAGCAUGACUUGUAUAAAUACUCCAU